GCCUAAAGCGUCCGUAGCCGGCUAUGUUAGUUUUCGGUUAAAUCCAUGUGCUCAACACAUGGGCUGUCGAGAAUACUGCAUAGCUAGGGAGUGGGAGAGGUAGACGGUACUCUGUAGGAAGGGGUAAAAUCCUUUGAUCUAUAGAUGACCACCAGUGGCGAAGGCGGUCUACCAGAACACGUCCGACGGUGAGGGAUGAAAGCUGGGGGAGCAAACCGGAUUAGAUACCCGGGUAGUCCCAGCUGUAAACUAUGCAAACUCAGUGAUGCAUUGGCUUGUGGCCAGUGCAGUGCCGCAGAGAAGUCGUUAAGUUUGCCGCCUGGGAAGUACGUACGCAAGUAUGAAACUUAAAGGAAUUGGCGGGGGAGCACCACAAGGGGUGAAGCCUGCGGUUCAAUUGGAGUCAACGCCAGAAAUCUUACCCGGAGAGACAGCAGAAUGAAGGUCAAGCUGAAGACUUUACCAGACAAGCUGAGAAGUGGUGCAUGGCCGUCGCCAGCUCGUGCCGUGAGGUGUCCUGUUAAGUCAGGUAACGAGCGAGAUCCUUGCCUCUAGUUGCCACCAUUACUCUCAGGAGUAGUGGGGCGAAUUAGCGGGACUGCCGUAGUUAAUACGGAGGAAGGAGAGGGCCACGGCAGGUCAGUAUGCCCCGAA
rnacentral:rRNA from 1 species